GCCGUUGGCGCCCGACUGGACGGGCACCGGACUUUUAAUCCGGACUGAGGUGGGUUCAAGUCCUCCCGGCGGCA
rnacentral:tRNA from 2 species